GUCAGGAGGAAGAUAAGAGAACCCAGUGGACAACAAAAUCCUUUCAUAACAGCAGAGCUUUGAUGAGCUUUGUGCUGAUGGAAGGAGGAUCAGGAAUAGAGCAGAGGACCUGCUGAUCUACUGGUUCUAGUAGAUUUUAUAAAUGCAUGACUGAGACAAGUCAACAUCACUGGACCAAUGAGGAGAGAGAAGACACAGAGGACUGAGGAGACGCAGGAAAUCCUGCUGGGAAUCCAGAGAAGUUUCCUGUUGCAUCACGGGGACAGCUGAGGACGAGACGCAGAAUAAAGAGACAGAGAUCAUGUGAAAUUCAAGGAUGGCCUUUCAACCCUGGAUGUCAUUUAUGCUUCGGAGCUUCAUGCUUCUGUGUUCAGGCCCUUUAUGUGCACAAGGGUGGAAAAGCUGACAUCAGAAAUGUUAGAGGAAAUCUUUGAAGUUCAGCUCAGCGAAAAGGACAGCACCAGAUGACAAGAAGAAACCAGACUGCUAGGAUUCUCCUUGAGACAGACCAAACCUCGCUUUCCUGUUCAAACACUGUCAAGAUACCAAAGCCCAAAACAAAUGAUCAAUUCCAAAAAAACAUGGACUUUGGGAUAAAAACUCUUUGGACUUUAUUAAGUUCAAAUACAGAAUCACAAAACAUAAAUGUGGAUGUUGGCCUGUGAAGGCAGAUGUUAACUUGUGAAACCUGCUCUGUUCAACUGUCACUACCAACUGUUAUAACUAUUGUUGAAAACUGUUGUAAUGCUUCAUUGUAUUUACAUGUAAAUAUUAGAAAUGAACAUUUUUAUGUCAUCAAAAAUUGUUGCAAUAAAAAGUGACAUACUAUUAACACAUGGUUGAUUUUUGUUUUUGUUUUAUUUUGACAAAUUAUUUUUGAAAGCUGCCAAACAGGCAACAAAUUAACCAGAUGUUAAUGAAAUAAAUAAGAAAAACAACAACAAAAAAACCUUGUUAGGUAGGUGGUACAUGACAUCCGGUUUACCAGUGAGACUGUUGAACAGGUCUGAUGGUAUUUGUAGUCCAUCUUUCCUUUCAUCAAUGUCACAUUGCAGCAAACCCAUGAACACAAACCGCACUAGACACAUCUGCUCAUAACUGCCACUAAAGACGUGUCUUUGCUUCAGAUCAUCCAGAACUGGGACUAACAACAAAGCAAAAUUAUAACAAAUGAAGGAAAAUUUCAGCAGGAAAGACAGUCUAGAAUGGCAUCAUUGGUUUCCAUAAAAUUGAUACUUUCUUUCAUUUGCUCUUCACCUUGUGCCAAGAACUGCACAUUUUACCCACAUGAAAAACAGAACACUUGAACUGUCCUGGAUGUUGAUCACAGAAGUCACAAAACAUGGAACAUGGCCACCUUAAAAAAAAAAAAAAAAA